rnacentral:rRNA from 1 species
GACAGAGGAGCCAAGCGUUGUCCGGAUUGACUGGGCAUAAAGCGCACGCAGGCGGAUGCGCGCGUGGGGUGUGAAAUCUGGCCGCUUAACGGCCAGGCGCCAUCCCAUACGGCGCGUCUGGAGUGAUGCAGAGGUCGAUGGAAUUGCCGGUGUAGUGGUGAAAUGCGUAGAGAUCGGCAGGAACACCCAGGGGGAAACCAGUCGACUGGGCAUCUACGUGACGCUGAGGUGCGAGAGCGUGGGGAGCGAACCGG